ACUAAAAGGACUGGUCAUGUUGCAGGGUUCAGAAUGUUGGUGCUGGUGGUACAGGGAAGGAGGAGAAGACAUGCAUGCAGUCCCUGCUACCACAGCUCACACAGUCUGGUUUCCCACGUGUUGGUAAAUCAGAGGGGUUGUCGUGCUCAAGGUGCAAGAAGUGGAUGGAAAAAGGCAACCAGCUCUAACAACGCUGUCGUGUGUUUCCCUUGCCAGCCAGAUUUUUUUCCUGUUGCUGUUGUACCCAGCCCUGAAAGUAGAGGAAAGUGCUCGGUGAUGUCCCUCCAACACUGCCUGCACCUUGGUGGGCUUUGGCUGCUGCACCAACAGCACAGGCACUGUGGGGAGCAAGGUUUGGAAAUGGGCCCUCAAGGCUCUUGGACCGGGGGAACAUUCCUGAGCUAUUGCUGCUGCACAGCUCAGCCCGUGGAAAGUGCUGACCAGAGAGACCUGGUCAGAUCCACCAGAGGUAACAAACUGCUGUGGCUUUGAAACAAGAAACUGCACAUCUUCACCAGGAUGCGUUUUGCCUUGAGAGCUGGAAAGAAAAGGUCGUGAACAUUAAAAGCAUUUACGAAAUACCAUGGAUUGCUUUUCUGUAGCAAAGCAGCGUGCUUUGGAAACAGCGCUGUGCCACACUACCUGUGUGACUUCGGUGAUGUGCUGCAAGAGAAGCGGUUUCAUUUGGACAAGUGGACGUCAGCUCAGCACCCAUAGCAUCUUCACUGCAAGCAGACAUGUAAGUAAGAGCAAAAAGCUUGGUUUGGGGUAUUUGCUGAAGCUGUAGGCAAAUAUGCAGCUGUAAUGUUGAGAUCAGGGUGCCCCUACUCCUGAACCUGCUCGCAGUCUGGACUGGCAGUAAACCUUUGUGCUUGCAGCUUUGCAUCAUAUCCUCUCUCUCUCCCCCUCUCUCUCCCAGAGCAGAGCUGCUCGGCUUUUGCAUAUUUUUGUUCCCUUGUCUGCCUGUUUUUCUCGUAUGUGUGGGCUGAAGAUUUGGUCAUGCUGUGCCUGCAAGCUCACCCAUACAAGCACCCACAGGACAGACAGGAAAGAGCAGGAAGGCGGUGGUGUUCCUGGAAAUGUAGCUCUUGGGCUGCAGUUACGCAUAGGAACUUGAUGCGUGUGCUGGUGUGGUUCUACAUAUGACAGGAGGCAUCACUCCCAGUCACUAAUAGGUCUGGAUGCCUGCUGCAAUAACCCGUUCUCUUGGUUAUACCCGCACUCGUGUGCUACCUAGAAAUACAUCACUCAGCUGCCUUACCUGUGAAACACCAGUGGGCUUCUGGAGAGAGUGCUCUGCUUUGCAGGGGAAAAGCACUGGGCUCCUUCUCCCUGGGGGUGCUUUCUCCCUCCAUGCCAAGAGAAAGCCAGGGCAGGAACCUGCUCGUCUCCUCAGUUCAGCCUUCUGCAGUGGGCAGCACGUGGCCGGGGCUCCCUCCCUUUGGAACCCACCCUCUGCGCUACUUCCACGUGCUCUGAAACGCUUCUUAAGGUGCUGACAGCAUGCUUGGGAGGUCUGCUUGGAGAAUGAGGCUGGGGUUGGAGCUGAGCAAAGCUCAGGGACAGAAAGCAUUUUAAAACCACGUCUCACAGAAGACUUGAUCUGAGCUCCAUUUGCAGCACUUGCAAGGCAGCAUUUUGUCAGCAUUGAACCUCCAGCUGCUCCGUAAUCAUCUCAAUCAGCUCAGAUGGAGGACACAAAGCCAGGGGGAGGUGGGAUGUUUCCUGCACAGGCCUCUCUGUGGUUCCACACCUCUGUCCUGCUGCUCUGCUGCCAAGCUGGAGCCCCACCCCAGCGAUUCAUGCUCAGCCUUUGGGAGAAGAGUGAGACCGCUCUGAGGAAAAUGAUUUAAAAUGCCUUCAGGUGCCUU